UCCGUAGGCGGUGCGGCAAGUCGGAAGUGAAAUCUCUGGGCUUAACUCAGAGGCUGCUUCCGAAACUGCCGUGCUCGAGUGUGAGAGAGGCGAGUGGAAUUACGGGUGUAGCGGUGAAAUGCGUAGAUAUCCGUAGGAACAUCCGAGGCGAAAGCGGCUCGCUGGAUCACAACUGACGCUGAGGGACGAAAGCUAGGGGAGCAAACAGGAUUAGAUACCCUGGUAGUCCUAGCCCUAAACCAUCAGGACUUGGGGUUUGCCCUGUACGGGGCAAGUCCCGGAGCUAACGCGUUAAGUCCUGCGCCUGGGGAGUACGGUCGCAAGGCUGAA
rnacentral:rRNA from 1 species